rnacentral:lncRNA from 1 species
UCCUUUGAGCUCACACAGUCCGUUCUGUGAACCCUCAUUGCAUGAUUUGCUGGAGGAUUAUGGCAGAGACGUCCAAUGCAAUCAUCAUGAUAGAGGAAGUGACUUGGAGCUCAGGGUGGGGGCGGCAGAGGGAGAGAGUCGAGCAGCCAGACCAUUGCCUCACUAGUGAAUGGCAGUGAUUCCAGUUCAUUCCUAGCUCAGAAAGCAACGUUUUGAGCCACAACUGUCACAACUCCAGCUGGUGUGCAGAGAAGCCAGGUUGAUGCCAUCUAUCAAAGUUGUCUCUUAGACCUCAGAGCCAGUUGAAGGGCUGAGAGAGGAUGUGGAAGCCAAUGGAACACAGCCAGCGCAGGAGGCAAGAUUUUGAAAUCUAUGGAACACCAAAUUGAACAACUAUCCACACAAAAAAUCACCUUCAUAUGAACCAAAAAUACAGUGAGUAAUCACAGUACCUGGUUUUAACUUCAUAUUACAGAAAGAGACACUGAAGAGAGUACAAAAGACAGUCUUGAAUUGCUGAUGCCACUAACCCCUUCCCCACCAGCAGCCGUGUGGAUCAGAGAGAGAACUGGUGUGCUUGGGGGAAGGAGAGUGCAGUGAUUGUGGGACUUUACAUUAGAACUCAGUGCUGCCUUGUCACAGUGGAAAGCAACCCUGGGCAGAACUCAGCUGGUGCCCCCAGAGGCAGCAUUUAGACCAGCUGUAGCCAGAGGGGAAUCACGAAGCUCACUAAGCUUAGUCUCACCAAGCUCAUUUGCAUGUGACAAAUAACACUGAGCUCAUAGUAAAACAGGGAGCAUAAUUAUCCAGCUUUCUAAAUGAACAGGUCAUUCUAUGAGUGUUAUCUGGUAUAGGUAAAGUGACUGGCCAGUGAAUCAGAAACUGAUUAACAUAUGGCUUAAGAGAUUUUGAUCUCUUAGCUAUAAGAUACACUAAUGAGAGUUUCCUGUGGCAAUAGUCCAAAAAUGUUCACCAUACCUCUUUCUUGGUAGUAAUCUGGGCAUUUUAUUACUGUGGCUUCUCUAGUAUAGUGGUUUUUAUUUUGUCCUUAUUUAUGUGAGUUGGGGUUUCAAAAUACUCUGAUUUAAAGAAAAAAAAGAGGGCAAGCAAGGUGGCUCACACCUGUAAU